CAACUUUCAGCAACGGAUCUCUUGGCUCUCGCAUCGAUGAAGAACGCAGCGAAAUGCGAUAAGUAAUGUAAAUUGCAGAAUUCAGUGAAUCAUCGAAUCUUUGAACGCACCUUGCGCUCCUUGGUAUUCCGAGGAGCAUGCCUGUUUGAGUGUCAUUA
rnacentral:rRNA from 1 species